UCGGAUAUGUUUUCUUUAUAUGCAACAAUUGCCAAAGGUAAUAUUAUUUGCUGUGCUGGACAAGUAUAAAUAUGGCAUUACGGUAUAGCUAUGACAUUUUGUUUGUUUUGAGACUUUGUAUGUGAUAAAAUACCAUCUUGUGAGACCGAGUUCUAAAUAAGAUGUAAAAUAUUUUGUGUGGAAUAGAUAGAUUCUGUGACAUGAGAUACACCAGUGAUAUUGGAGGUUCCUUCUCCAUAUCCACAACACCAUAGCCUAAAAUAAGAUGGUAGGCUUCAUGUACAUGUAAAUCUAGCAUACCGGGCAAAAAAAUAUAUGAAACUUUGCUUCUAUCUGUACAUUCUGUGAUUGUGAUUUCAUUAAAAAUUACAAACCUUUUGAACUCGGACUAUUUUCCGAAUAGUGGAUUCAUAAUCUUUAUCAGUUUCUCUUAAACAUUGUCCCCUAUUUUAAAACACCAAUUUUUGCUUACUGCCUUUUGGGUUUUACAUUGCACAUUUGCAGUUUUAGACUUGUGGUUGAGGCAUGCUAUAUGAUGUUCUUCAGCUUUCUACUAAUCAUCGAGAUCUGGCAUGCGAUGCUCUACUCUGCAAAUAUAUAUAUAUAUAUAUAUAUAUAUAUAUUGAUGCUCUGUUAUUUUUUUGUUGUUGAAUUGGUGAGCAUGUGAAUUUUCUCUACUCAUUUCAUUCUUGCCUCUGAAACUUUUAUAUGAUGCCUGUACCUUACACAUUUGUUUCAGUUAUGGUUAAUUGGUGAUUUCUGGUUCCGUCGUUCUCAAUUUUCCAUGUUAAGAACUCAAGCUUGGACAUUGUUUAGUUGCCAUUUCAGUGGUACAGUGCGAUGAACUGUAGUAAUUAGCUUCGUUAAUUACUCUACUGGAAACAAAUUUAUGUUGAAGGAGCAACCUCGAUCACUGUUUACUUCCAAGGGUGAUCUGCACUCUGCAACUUGAGAUGUAGUUGAACCUCUGCUAAUUGGCAUAUGAUAACACUGGUGGGUGGGUCAUCAAGAACAACAAUUGGAACUUUGGUUCAAACUGAAAAAUCACAGAUCAAACCACAGGCAGGAGAAAGAAUAUAUACA
rnacentral:lncRNA from 1 species